rnacentral:rRNA from 1 species
GCCCUUCAGAGGGGGACAACAGUUGGAAACGACUGCUAAUACCGCAUACGAUCCAAUCUCGGCAUCGAGGAUGGAUGAAAGGUGGCCUCUAUUUAUAAGCUAUCACUGAAGGAGGGGAUUGCGUCUGAUUAGCUAGUUGGAGGGGUAACGGCCCACCAAGGCAAUGAUCAGUAGCCGGUCUGAGAGGAUGAACGGCCACAUUGGGACUGAGACACGGCCCAG